GUAAUAGGGCCUUGUGUUCACAAGCCCAAGGAUUACUCUUAGAUUGUGGACAAUCACUUGAUACAGAAAUUCAAGCCAAAUACAAAUUUGGGGUACAAUACCAAGAAGGUCCAUGGUGUAAAACAAAAUAUCUAGUGGCUGAUGACAGAAUCGAAUCGUGGAUCUCCACCGCCCUGUGGACUCCAUUUCCCACAGGAACAGCUGACCUGGAUAAUUCCUAUCUCGCAAAGCUGCUAUCCUCAAUGCCUAGGUUCCGGGGUUGACUUCAUCGUGCUCCUCUCCAAAUAUGCAAUCUGCCCAAGACAAUAGCUAGGGACAAGCCAAUUAGUACUUUGAAUGUACUCACAAACAUCAUGAACACAGAUAAGUAUAAGCAGGUGAGAUGCAUGCACUAUAAUCUUAAUAAC
rnacentral:lncRNA from 1 species